AGAGUUUGAUCAUGGCUCAGGACGAACGCUGGCGGCGCGCCUAACACAUGCAAGUCGAACGGAGCUGAGAGGAGCUUGCUUUUCUUAGCUUAGUGGCGAACGGGUGAGUAACGCGUGAGUAACCUGCCCUGGAUGGGGGACAACAGUUGGAAACGACUGCUAAUACCGCAUAAGCCCACGGCCCGGCAUCGGGCUGAGGGAAAAGGAUUUAUUCGCUUCAGGAUGGACUCGCGUCCAAUUAGCUAGUUGGUGAGGUAACGGCCCACCAAGGCGACGAUUGGUAGCCGGACUGAGAGGUUGAACGGCCACACUGGAACUGAGACACGGUCCAGACUCCUACGGGAGGCAGCA
rnacentral:rRNA from 1 species